rnacentral:rRNA from 1 species
AGAGUUUGAUCCUGGCUCAGAAUCAACGCUGGCGGCGCGCCUAACACAUGCAAGUCGAACGAGAAAGCCCGCAAGGGUGAGUACAGUGGCGUACGGGUGAGUAACACGUGGAUAAUAUACCCUCUAGUGGGGAAUACCGCUGGGAAACCGGCGACAAUACCGCAUAAGCUCGAGAGAGGAAAGCAGCAAUGCGCUGGAGGAGGAGUCCGCGGCUGAUUAGCUAGUUGGUGAGGUAACGGCUCACCAAGGCAAAGAUCAGUAGCCGGCCUGAGAGGGCACACGGCCACACUGGCACUGAAACACGGGCCAGACUCCUACGGGAGGCAGCAGUGGGGAAUCUUGCACAAUGGGGGAAACCCUGAUGCAGCGACGCCGCGUGAGCGAUGAAGCCCUUCGGGGUGUAAAGCUCUUUCGGCAGGGAAGAUGAUGACGGUACCUGCAGAAGCAGCUGCGGCUAACUACGUGCCAGCAGCCGCGGUAAUACGUAGGCAGCAAGCGUUGUUCGGAGUUACUGGGCGUAAAGGGUGUGUAGGCGGUUGGAUAAGUGUGGUGUGAAAUCUCCCGGCUCAGCUGGGAGGGUGCGCUACAAACUGUCUGACUCGAGUGUGGGAUGGGUAAGUGGAAUUCCUGGUGUAGCGGUGAAAUGCGUAGAUAUCAGAGGAACACCGGUGGUGUAGACGGCUCACUGGACCAUAACUGACGCUGAGACACGAAAGCGUGGGUAGCAAACAGGAUUAGAUAC